CCGAGUUUACAAACUCCCAAACCCAAUGUGAACAUACCUAUCUUACUGUUGCUUCCCCGCCGUGGGUAAAACCGCUGCGGGGGAGGACACAGCCACAAACUCUGUAAUUUACUACUGUAACUGUCUGAGUAAACAUCAUUUAUAAUGAAUCA
rnacentral:misc_RNA from 1 species